UGCUGUUAGUGAUGAUUAAAAAAAAAACAGAUGGGAAUCUCUCUGAAAAAGAAUGAAGAUUUUGUUUUAUAACUGAAACAGUA
ensembl:snoRNA SNORD79 Small nucleolar RNA SNORD79